ACUCAUUUAAACAAAACUCACUAGAGAGUAGUAUGGGAUAGGAAUGGACCUUGAUCUGUAGAAUGAAAUUUCGGAGUUCCAAAAUCGUUAUUUGGACAAAACACAGAAAAUCCGAGAUCUCAAAUAGCACCUCGUCGACUCGAAUCUGGAUGGGAACAGCAUGCCACGAACAGCUCGCAACGACCCCAAUUUAGACAAACUCCAUCGCUAAAGCCCCAAAAUCGAAAGAAGAAACAAAAAAUGAACUCUGAACUUUGUGGGAUCACCUUGCACUGACUAGGAGCCUUGAACGAGUAGAUGAAGUGAGGUGACUGAUUUGGCAGUUAUGGAGGAAUUUCGGUAAGUCUCCGCGGCUGGUCUUUAAAAGGGGGUGACGACUGGUGGGUGUGGAAGAUGACGACCUCAAAUCAAUUCC
rnacentral:lncRNA from 1 species